ensembl:snoRNA
AGUGUCUUGGUGCUUACCACAGGCUGUGGUCUUACACUGAAAAAGAAGGCAGAGUAAACCUACCCCAUAUACACCUCAGCCCAGGCCCUGUGCCUGGUCUGCAUUGUGAAUGGGGAGACACAG